CCUACGGGAGGCAGCAGUAGGGAAUCUUUCACAAUGGGCGAAAGCCUGAUGGAGCAACGCCGCGUGCAGGAUGAAGGCCUUCGGGUUGUAAACUGCUUUUAUAAGCGAGAAAUAUGAUGGUAACUUAUGAAUAAGGAUCUGCUAACUACGUGCCAGCAGCCGCGGUCAUACGUAGGAUCCGAGCAUUAUCCGGAGUGACUGGGUGUAAAGAGUUGCGUAGGUGGCAUAAUAAGUAGCUAGUGAAAUCUGGUGGCUCAACCAUUCAGACUAUUAGCUAAACUGUUAAGCUCGAGACCGUUAGGGGUAACUGGAAUUUCUAGUGUAGGAGUGAAAUCCGUAGAUAUUAGAAGGAACACCAAUAGCGUAGGCAGGUUGCUGGGACGGUUCUGACACUAAGGCACGAAAGCGUAGGGAGCAAACGGGAUUAGAUACCCCAGUAGUC
rnacentral:rRNA from 1 species